CGGGAUAAAGUAUCUUGUUAACAGCUUUCAAUCCUUUCCGGCAUGCGCUGUGAGAGCAUCCCUAUCAUAUCUUAUUCCAAGGGAGCACUACUGGAACCGGAAUCACGUUCAUUGUUUGGUGUCAUUGCUCCAUCAUGUCACACACACAGCUUACAUUGUCGAUGCUAAUCCAUCGACACAGGUAGUCGAUAUUAUGUUAUUUGACCACAAGGGGACGACCAGCAUUAAUCAUCUGUUCGCCAAGAGCGUAUGCUGUAAGUGGAAGAAUAAAAAUCCCGAAAUGAUAGAUAUUGUACAGUACCGCAACAGGGUUAAGCAAUUUAGUGAAUGUCAUCCAAGCUUUCCCGAUAUAGAAGAAGGCCGGUAUCCUUCGGUAGGGGAGCUCGAAGACGCGUUUUUACGCGGGUUCGAUUUCGACCAACACUACGCACACUGCAUACACAAUGAAGUGGCUCAAAAGCAAAUAUUCGAAGAUCAUAAACUGACUCUGGAGCGAUUGAUGCUAAGGGUACUAUCAGCCACCAACCCUUUCUUAAUGAUGAAUAUAAUGUGAUAUAUUUCUUCUUCGUCAAAGGGACCGGAAUGGCGCUUUCAUCGGAUACUUACGCUGACCAGGCUGUUGUAGGAAUCAUCAACCAGCUUGAUGUCAUCGACGGCCAGACGGGUGAUGCAGUUGUAACGGUACUCCUCUAU